rnacentral:rRNA from 1 species
CUCGUAGGCGGUUCGUCGCGUCCGGUGUGAAAGUCCAUCGCCUAACGGUGGAUCUGCGCCGGGUACGGGCGGACUGGAGUGCGGUAGGGGAGACUGGAAUUCCCGGUGUAACGGUGGAAUGUGUAGAUAUCGGGAAGAACACCAAUGGCGAAGGCAGGUCUCUGGGCCGUUACUGACGCUGAGGAGCGAAAGCGUGGGGAGCAAACA